rnacentral:rRNA from 1 species
AUUGAACGCUGGCGGCAGGCCUAACACAUGCAAGUCGAGCGGAUGAAGGGAGCUUGCUCCUGGAUUCAGCGGCGGACGGGUGAGUAAUGCCUAGGAAUCUGCCUGGUCGUGGGGGAUAACGUCCGGAAACGGGCGCUAAUACCGCAUACGUCCUGAGGUAGAAAGUGGGGGAUCUUCGGACCUCACGCUAUCAGAUGAGCCUAGGUCGGAUUAGCUAGUUGGUGGGGUAAAGGCCUACCAAGGCGACGAUCCGUAACUGGUCUGAGAGGAUGAUCAGUCACACUGGAACUGAGACACGGUCCAGACUCCUACGGGAGGCAGCAGUGGGGAAUAUUGGACAAUGGGCGAAAGCCUGAUACAGCCAUGCCGCGUGUGUGAAGAAGGUCUUCGGAUUGUAAAGCACUUUAAGUUGGGGGGAAGGGCAGUAAGUUAAUACCUUGCUGUAUUGACGUUACCAGCAGAAUAAGCACCGGCUAACUUCGUG